GACGAACGCUGGCGGCGUGCUUAACACAUGCAAGUCGAACGGAAAGGCUUCUUUCGGGGGGUACUCGAGUGGCGAACGGGUGAGUAACACGUGAGUAACCUGCCCUUGACUUUGGGAUAACUUCAGGAAACUGGGGCUAAUACCGGAUAGGAGCUCCUGCUGCAUGGUGGGGGUUGGAAAGUUUCGGCGGUUGGGGAUGGACUCGCGGCUUAUCAGCUUGUUGGUGGGGUAGUGGCUUACCAAGGCUUUGACGAGUAGCCGGCCUGAGAGGGUGACCGGCCACAUUGGGACUGAGAUACGGCCCAGACUCCUACGGGAGGCAGCAGUGGGGAAUAUUGCACAAUGGGUGGAAGCCUGAUGCAGCAACGCCGUGUGUGGGAUGACGGCCUUCGGGUUGUAAACCGCUUUCGCUCAUGACGAAGCUUUGUGUGACGGUAGUGGGUAAAGAAGCACCGGCUAACUACGUG
rnacentral:rRNA from 1 species